GAUCAUGGCUCAGGACGAACGCUGGCGGCGCGCCUAACACAUGCAAGUCGAACGAGAGAGAGGGAGCUUGCUUCCUUGAUCGAGUGGCGAACGGGUGAGUAACGCGUGAGGAACCUGCCUCAAAGAGGGGGACAACAGUUGGAAACGACUGCUAAUACCGCAUAAGCCCACGGCUCGGCAUCGAGCAGAGGGAAAAGGAGCAAUCCGCUUUGAGAUGGCCUCGCGUCCGAUUAG
rnacentral:rRNA from 1 species